rnacentral:rRNA from 1 species
GACGAACGCUGGCGGCGUGCUUAACACAUGCAAGUCGAACGGAAAGGCCCUGCUUUUGUGGGGUGCUCGAGUGGCGAACGGGUGAGUAACACGUGAGUAACCUGCCCUUGACUUUGGGAUAACUUCAGGAAACUGGGGCUAAUACCGGAUAGGAGCUCCUGCUGCAUGGUGGGGGUUGGAAAGUUUCGGCGGUUGGGGAUGGACUCGCGGCCUAUCAGCUUGUUGGUGGGGUAGUGGCUUACCAAGGCUUUGACGGGUAGCCGGCCUGAGAGGGGGACCGGCCACAUUGGGACUGAGAUACGGCCCAGACUCCUACGGGAGGCAGCAGUGGGGAAUAUUGCACAAUGGGCGGAAGCCUGAUGCAGCAACGCCGCGUGCGGGAUGACGGCCUUCGGGUUGUAAACCGCUUUCGCCUGUGACGAAGCGUGAGUGACGGUAAUGGGUAAAGAAGCACCGGCUAACUACGUG